UACGUAGGGGGCCAGCGUUGUCCGGAAUCAUUGGGCGUAAAGCGCGCGUAGGUGGCUUCGUAAGUCCGUUGUGAAAGUCAAAGGCUCAACCUUUGAAAGCCGAUGGAUACUGCGGAGCUAGAGUACGGAAGAGGCGAGUGGAAUUCCUGGUGUAGCGGUGGAAUGCGCAGAUAUCAGGAGGAACACCAAUAGCGAAGGCAGCUCGCUGGGACGUUACUGACACUGAGGCGCGAAAGCGUGGGGAGCGAACAGG
rnacentral:rRNA from 1 species